rnacentral:rRNA from 1 species
GGCGAACGGGUGAGUAACACGUAGGUGAUCUACCUUCGAGACGGGAACAACCCAGGGAAACUUGGGCUAAUGCCUGAUAAGACCACGCGCAGGGAUGUGCGGGGCCAAAGGGGGGCGAAAGUCUCUCGCUUGAAGAUGAGCCUGCGGCCUAUCAGCUAGUUGGUAAGGUAAAAGCUUACCAAGGCGAAGACGGGUAGCCGACCUGAGAGGGUGACCGGCCACACUGGGACUGAGACACGGCCCAGACUCCUACGGGAGGCAGCAGUGAGGAAUUUUCCGCAAUGGGCGCAAGCCUGACGGAGCGACGCCGCGUGAGGGAUGAAGGCUUUCGGGUUGUAAACCUCUUUUAAGCGAGAAAAAGGUCCGAUUGCUAAUACCAGUCGGAUUUGAUGGUAUCGCUGGAAUAAGCCCCGGCUAACUACGUGCCAGCAGCCGCGGUAAUGCGUAGGGGGCGAGCGUUGUCCGGAAUUACUGGGCGUAAAGGGCGUGUAGGCGGUUGGAGAAGUCUGGUGUGAAAUGCUUCGGCUUAACUGGAGCGCUGCG